GCAUAUCGACCAUCGAUGUC
rnacentral:siRNA from 1 species